rnacentral:lncRNA from 1 species
AAACUCUUCCGGAACCUUUCCGGUGUCCAAAUAUAUCCGUCCAAUAUAUCAAUCUUUAUGUCUCGACCAUUUCGAGACUCCUCGUCAUGUCCGUGAUCACAUCCGGGACUCCGAACAAACUUCGGUACAUCAAAAUACAUAAACUCAUAAUAUAACUGUCAUCGAAACCUUAAGCGUGCGGACCCUACGGUUCGAGAACGAUGUAGACAUGACCGAGACAUGUCUCUGGUCAAUAACCAAUAGCGGGACCUGGAUGCCCAUAUUGGUUCCUACAUAUUCUACGAAGAUCUUUAUCGGUCAAACCGCAUAACAGCAUACGUUGUUCCCUUUGUCAUCGGUAUGUUACUUGUCCAAGAUUUGAUCGUCGGUAUCCAAUACCUAGUUCAAUCUCGUUACCGACAAGUCUCUUUACUCAUUCUGUAAUACUUCAUCUCAUAACUAACUCAUUAGUUAUAUGCUUGCAAGGCUUAUGUGAUGAGCAUUACCGAGAGGGCCCAGAGAUACCUCUCCGACAAUCGGAGUGACAAAACCUAAUCUCGAAUUAUGCUAACUCAACAUGUACCUUCGGAGACACCUGUAGUACUCCUUUAUAAUCACCCAGUUACGUUGUGACGUUUGGUAGUACCCAAAGUGUUCCUCCGGUAAACGGGAGUUACACAAUUCUCAUAGUUACAGGAACAUGUAUAAGUCAUGAAGGAAGCAAUAGCAGAAUACUAAACGAUCAAGUGCUAAGCUAACGGGAUGGGUCAUGUCAAUCACAUCAUUCUCCUAAUGAUGUGAUCUCAUUAAUCAAAUGACAACACAUGUCUAUGGUUAGGAAACAUAACCAUCUUUGACUAAUGAGCUAGUCAAGUAGAGGCAUACUAGUGACUAUAUGUUUGUCUAUGUAUUCACACAUGUAUCAUGUUUCCGAUUAAUACAAUUCUAGCAUGAAUAAUAAACAUUUAUCAUGAUAUGAGGAAAUAAAUAAUAACUUUAUUAUUGCCUCUAGGGCAUAUUUCCUUCAGUCUCCCACUUGCACUAGAGUCAAUAAUCUAGAUUACACAGUAAUGAUUCUAACACCCAUGGAGUCUUGGUGCUGAUCAUGUUUUGCUCGUGAGAGAGGCUUAGUCAAUGGGUCUGCAAUAUUCAGAUCCGUAUGUAUCUUGCAAAUCUCUAUGUCUCCCACUUGGACUUGGUCCCGAAUGGAAUUGAAGCGUCUCUUGAUGUGCUUGGUCCUCUUGUGAAAUCUGGAUUCCUUUGCCAAGGCAAUUGCACCAGUAUUGUCACAGAAGAUCUUCAUUGGUCCCGAUGCACUAGGUAUGACACCUAGAUCGGAAAUGAACUCCUUCAUCCAGACUCCUUCAUUUGCCGCUUCAGAAGCAGCUAUGUACUCCGCUUCACAUGUAGAUCCCGCUACGACGCUUUGUUUUGAACUGCACCAACUUACAGCUCCACCGUUUAAUAUAAACACGUAUCCGGUCUGCGAUUUAGAAUCGUCCGGAUUAGUGUCAAAGCUUGCAUCGACGUAACCAUUUACGACUAGCUCUUUGUCACCUCCAUAUACGAGAAACAUAUCCUUAGUCCUUUUCAGGUAUUUCAGGAUGUUCUUGACCGCUGUCCAGUGAUCCACUCCUGGAUUACUUUGGUACCUACCUGCCAAGCUUAUUGCUAAGCAUAUGUCAGAUCUUGUACACAGCAUUGCAUACAUGAUAGAGCCUAUGGCUGAAGCAUAGGGAACAUCUUUCAUUUUCUCUCUAUCUUCUGCUGUGGUCGGGCAUUGAGUUUGACUCAACUUCACACCUUGUAGCACAGGCAAGAAUCCUUUCUUAGCCUGAUCCAUUUUGAACUUUUUCAAAAUUUUGUCAAGGUAUGUGCUUUGUGAAAGUCCUAUUAAGCGUCUUGAUCUAUCUCUAUAGAUCUUGAUGCCCAAUAUGUAAGCAGCUUCACCGAGGUCUUUCAUUGAAAAACUUUUAUUCAAGUAUCCCUUUAUGCUAUCCAGAAAUUCUAUAUCAUUUCCAAUUAAUAAUAUGUCAUCAACAUAUAAAACUAGAAAUGCUACAGAGCUCCCACUCACUUUCUUGUAAAUACAGGCUUCUCCAAAAGUCUGUAUAAAACCAUAUGCUUUGAUCACACUGUCAAAGCGUUUAUUCCAACUCCGAGAUGCUUGCACCAGUCCAUAAAUGGAACGCUGGAGCUUGCACACUUUGUCAGCACCUUUUGGAUCAACAAAACCUUCAGGCUGCAUCAUAUACAACUCUUCUUCUAGAAAUCCAUUCAAGAAUGCAGUUUUGACAUCCAUUUGCCAAAUUUCAUAAUCAUGAAAUGCAGCAAUAGCCAACAUGAUUCGGACAGACUUAAGCAUCGCUACGGGUGAGAAAGUCUCAUCGUAGUCAACCCCUUGAACUUGUCGAAAACCUUUUGCAACAAGUCGAGCUUUGUAGACAGUAACAUUACCAUCAGCGUCAGUCUUCUUCUUAAAGAUCCAUUUAUUCUCAAUGGCUUGCCGAUCAUCGGGCAAGUCAACCAAAGUCCAUACUUUGUUUUCAUACAUGGAUCCUAUCUCAGAUUUCAUGGCCUCUAGCCAUUUUGCGGAAUCUGGGCUCAUCAUUGCUUCCUCAUAGUUCGUAGGUUCAUCAUGGUCAAGUAACAUGACUUCCAGAAUAGGAUUUCCGUACCACUCUGGUGCGGAUCUUACUCUGGUAGACCUACGAGGUUCAGUAGAAACUUGAUCUGAAGUUUCAUGAUCAAUAUCAUUAGUUUCCUCACUAAUUGGUGUAGUCGUCACAGGAACCGGUUCUUGUGAUGAACUACUUUCCAAUAAGGGAGUAGAUACAGUUAUCUCAUCAAGUUCUACUUUCCUCCCACUCACUUCUUUCGAGAGAAACUCCUUCUCUAGAAAGGAUCCGAAUUUAGCAACGAAAAUCUUGCCCUCAGAUCUGUGAUAGAAGGUGUACCCAAUAGUCUCCUUUGGGUAUCCUAUGAAGACACAUUUCUCCGAUUUGGGUUCGAGCUUAUCUGGUUGAAGUUUCUUCACAUAAGCAUCGCAGCCCCAAACUUUGAGAAACGACAACUUUGGUUUCUUGCCAAACCACAGUUCAUAAGGCGUCGUCUCAACGGAUUUUGAUGGUGCCCUAUUUAACGUGAAUGCGGCCGUCUCUAAAGCAUAACCCCAAAACGAUAGCGGUAAAUCGGUAAGAGACAUCAUAGAUCGCACCAUAUCAAGUAAAGUACGAUUACGACGUUCGGACACACCAUUUCGCUGUGGUGUUCCAGGUGGCGUGAGUUGCGAAACUAUUCCACAUUGUUUCAAAUGUAAACCAAACUCGUAACUCAAAUAUUCUCCUCCACGAUCAGAUCGUAGAAAUUUUAUUUUCUUGUUACGAUGAUUUUCUACUUCACUCUGAAAUUCUUUGAACUUUUCAAAUGUUUCAGACUUGUGCUUCAUCAAGUAGAUAUACCCAUAUCUGCUCAAAUCAUCUGUGAAGGUGAGAAAAUAAUGAUAUCCGCCACGAGCCUCAACAUUCAUCGGGCCACAUACAUCUGUAUGUAUGAUUUCCAACAAAUCUGUUGCUCUCUCCAUAGAUCCGGAGAACGGUGUUUUUUGUCAUCUUGCCCAUGAGGCACGGUUCGCAAGUACCAAGUGAUUCAUAAUCAAGUGAUUCCAGAAGUCCAUCAGUAUGGAGUUUCUUCAUGCGUUUUACACCGAUAUGACCUAAACGGCAGUGCCACAAAUAUGUUGCACUAUCAUUAUCAACUCUGCAUCUUUUGGCUUCAACAUUAUGAAUAUGUGUAUCACUACUAUCGAGAUUCAAUAAAAAAAACCACUCUUCAAGGGUGCAUGACCAUAAAAGAUAUUACUCAUAUAAAUAGAACAACCAUUAUUCUCUGAUUUAAAUGAAUAACCGUCUCGCAUCAAACAAGAUCCAGAUAUAAUGUUCAUGCUCAACGCAGGCACCAAAUAACAAUUAUUCAGGUCUAAUACUAAUCCCGAUGGUAGAUGUAGAGGUAGCGUGCCGACCGCGAUCACAUCGACUUUGGAACCAUUUCCCACGCGCAUCGUCACCUCGUCCUUAGCUAAUCUUCGCUUAAUCUGUAGUCCCUGUUUCGAGUUGCAAAUGUUAGCAACAGAACCAGUAUCAAAUACCCAGGUGCUACUGCGAGCAUUAGUAAGGUACACAUCAAUAACAUGUAUAUCACAUAUACCUUUGUUCACUUUGCCAUCCUUCUUAUCCGCCAAAUACUUGGGGCAGUUCCGCUUCCAGUGUCCAGUCUGCUUGCAGUAGAAGCACUCAGUUUCAGGCUUAGGUCCAGACUUGGGUUUCUUCUCUUGAGCAGCAACUUGCUUGCGUUCUUUUUGAAGUUCCCAUUCUUCUUCCCUUUGCCCCUUUUCUUGAAACCAGUGGUCUUAUUGACCAUCAACACUUGAUGCUCCUUCUUGAUUUCUACCUCCGCGGCUUUCAGCAUCGUGAAGAGCUUGGGAAUAGUCUUGUUCAUCCCUUGCAUAUUAUAGUUCAUCACAAAGCUCUUGUAGCUUGGUGGCAGUGGUUGGAGAAUUCUGUCAAUGACGCUACCAUCCGGAAGAUUAACUCCCAGUUGAAUCAAGUGAUUAUUAUACCCAGACAUUUUGAGUAUAUGCUCACUGACAGAACUGUUCUCCUCCAUCUUGCAGCUGUAGAACUUAUUGGAGACUUCAUAUCUCUCAAUCCGGGCAUUUUCUUGAAAUAUUAACUUCAACUCCUGGAACAUCUCAUAUGCUCCAUGACGUUCAAAACGUCGUUGAAUACCCGGUUCUAAGCCGUAAAGCAUGGCACACUGAACUAUAGAGUAGUCAUCAGCUUUGCUCUGCCAGACGUUCAAAACGUCGUCAGUUGCAUCAGCAGCAGGCCUGGCACCCAGCGGUGCUUCCAGGACGUAACUCUUCUGUGCAACAAUGAGGAUAAUCCUCAGGUUAUGGACCCAGUCCGUGUAAUUGCUACCAUCAUCUUUCAACUUUGCUUUCUCAAGGAACGCAUUAAAAUUCAACGGAACAACAACACGAGCCAUCUAUCUACAAACAAACAUAGACAAGUAAAAUACUAUCAGGUACUAAGUUCAUGAUAAAUUUAAGUUCAAUUAAUCAUAUUACUAAAGAACUCCCACUUAGACAGACAUCUCUCUAGUCAUCUAAGUGAUUACGUGAUCCAAAUCAACUAAACCAUGUCCGAUCAUCACGUGAGAUGGAGUAGUUUCAAUGGUGAACAUCUCUAUGUUGAUCAUAUCUACUAUAUGAUGCACGCUCGACCUUUCGGUCUCUGUGUUUCGAGGCCAUAUCUGUACAUGCUAGGCUCGUCAAGUAUAACCUGAGUAUUCCGCGUGUGCAACUGUUUUGCACCCAUUGUAUUUGAACGUAGAGCCUAUCACACCCGAUCAUCACGUGGUGUCUCAGCACGAAGAACUUUCGCAACGGUGCAUACUCAGGGAGAACACUUCUUGAUAAUUAGUGAGAGAUCAUCUUAAAAUGCUACCGUCAAUCAAAGCAAGAUAAGAUGCAUAAAGGAUAAACAUCACAUGCAAUCAAUAUAAGUGAUAUGAUAUGGCCAUCAUCAUCUUGUGCUUGUGAUCUCCAUCUUCGAAGCACCGUCGUGAUCACCAUCGUCACCGGCGCGACACCUUGAUCUCCAUCGUAGCAUCGUUGUUGUUACGCCAUCUAUUGCUUCUACGACUAUCGCUACCGCUUAGUGAUAAAGUAAAGCAAUUACAGGGCGUUUGCAUUUCAUACAAUAAAGAGACAACCAUAUGGCUCCUGCCAGUUGCCGAUAACUUCGGUUACAAAACAUGAUCAUCUCAUACAAUAAAAUAUAGCAUCACGUCUUGGCCAUAUCACAUCAGAACAUGCCCUGCAAAAACAAGUUAGACGUCCUCUAUUUUGUUGUUGCAAAUUUUACGUGGCUUCUACGGGCUUAAGCAAGAACCAAUCUCACCUACGCAUCAAAACCACAACGAUAAUUUGUCAAAUAGACUCCGUUUUAACCUUCACAAGGACCAGGCGUAGCCACACUCGGUUCAACUAAAGUUGGAGAAACUGACACCCGCUAGUCACCUGUGUGCAAAGCACGGCGGUAAAACCAGUCUCGCGUAAGCGUACGCGUAAUGUUGGUCCGGGCCGCUUCAUCCAACAAUACCGCUGAACCAAAGUAUGACAUGCUGGUAGGCAGUAUGACUUAUAUCGUCCACAACUCACUUGUGUUCUACUCGUGCAAAUAACAUCAAACCAUAAAAACCUAGGCUCGGAUGCCACUGUUGGGUAACGUAGUAAUUUCAAAAUUUUCCUGCGCACACGCAAGAUCAUGGUGAUGAUAUAGCAACGAGGGGAGAGUGUUGUCUACGUACCCUCGUAGACCGAAGCGGAAGCGUUGACGCAGCAUAGAGGAAGUAGUCGUACGUCCUCCCGGUUCAACCGAUCCAAGCACCGUUACUCCGGCAUCUCCGAGUUCUUGACACGCGUACAGCUCGAUGACACACCCUCGAUCUCCGAUCCAGCAGAGGUGCCGAGGGGGAGUUCCGUCAGCACGACGGCGUGGUGACGAUCUUGAUGUUCUCCUGUCGCAGGGCUUCUCCUAAGCACCGCUACAAUAUGACCGAGGUGUAAUAUCGUGGAGGGGGGCACCGCACACGGCUAAGGAACGAUCAAUGAUCAACUUGUGUGUUCUAGGGUGCCCCUCUACCCCCGUAUAUAAAGGAGGGAGGGAGGAGGUGGCCGGCCCAAGGGAGGAGGAAACCUACUCCAAGUAGGUUUCCCCUCUUUUUCCUUAUCUUAUUUGGAGGAAGAAGGAAGGAGUACUAGUAGUAGGAAGGAGUACUAGUAGUAUGAAAGGAAGAGGGGGAAGGAGAAAGGAAAGGGGGGGCCGGCCCCCCUCCCCAAUUCGGAUUGGGCUUGGGGGGGCGCGCCCCCCUCCCUUGCUCCUUCUCCCUUCCUCCUACAUGGGCCCAAUAAGGCCCAUAUACCUCCCGGGGGGUUCCGGUAACCUCCUGGAGCUCCAAACUCUUCCGGAACCUUUCUGGUGUCCAAAUAUAUCCGUCCAAUAUAUCAAUCUUUAUGUCUCGACCAUUUCGAGACUCCUCGUCAUGUCCGUGAUCACAUCCGGGACUCCGAACAAACUUCGGUACAUCAAAAUACAUAAACUCAUAAUAUAACUGUCAUCGAAACCUUAAGCGUGCAGACCCUACGGUUCGACAAUGAUGUAGACAUGACUGAGACAUGUCUCUGGUCAAUAACCAAUAGCGGGACCUGGAUGCCCAUAUUGGUUCCUACAUAUUCUAUGAAGAUCUUUAUCGGUCAAACCGCAUAACAGCAUACGUUGUUCCCUUUGUCAUCGGUAUGUUACUUGUCCGAGAUUUGAUCGUCGGUAUCCAAUACCUAGUUCAAUCUCGUUACCGAUAAGUCUCUUUACUCGUUCUGUAAUACUUCAUCUCAUAAC